AAAUAGCCUUGCAAUACGAGUACGUUGCAUUUGCUGACUUUGGAAGGCUAAACGCCAGGUCUUUCAAAACGUUCGCUACUCUGCUAUGUGUUUUGCCACGCCCUCGCCUUCGCAAAGACAGGCACAAACUCUGUUAACUAUUACGAAAGAGCGAGCAUAGCAUAAUUAGCGCAAUUUUUACAGUUUUUUCUUUUUGUUUCUUUUAUUCUUUUGUGGAUGAUCUUCAUAUACUUGUAAUUUUUCUAUCGCAAAAAAGAAGAAGCUGCCGUCGAGUGCGCACGUGUUUGCAAAGUGAUUGUGAAAUAUGAAAACUUGGAAAAAUAUUACUUUACAUCGUGAGCCGUCAAAUAUAUGAUUUAUGUAUGUAAAAAUACGUAAAAAUGCGUGGUUCGACUUUAUAUUGAAAUUAUGGAUGCACACGCAAAACCAAGCCGACGCCUUUGGAAUAGAGAAAACCGAUACAAGACGAGACAACGCACU